UUAAGCGAAUAAGCGUACACGGUGGAUGCCUAGGCAAUCAGAGGCGAUGAAGGACGUGCUAAUCUGCGAAAAGCGUCGGUAAGGUGAUAUGAACCGUUAUACCCGACGAUAUCCGAAUGGGGAAACCCAGUAUCCAAUGGAUACUAUCAUUAACUGAAUCCAUAGGUUAAUGAGGCGAACCGGGAGAACUGAAACAUCUCAGUACCCCGAGGAAAAGAAAUCAACCGAGAUUCCCCUAGUAGCGGCGAGCGAACGGGGAGCAGCCCAGAGUCUUAAUCAAUAGCAGUGUCAGGAGAACGGUCUGGAAAGUCCGGCAGUAAAGGGUGAUAGCCCCGUAUCUGAAGAUGCUGUUAUUGUGAACUCGACGAGUAGGGCGGGACACGUGUUAUCCUGUCUGAAUAUGGGGGGACCAUCCUCCAAGGCUAAAUACUCCUGAUUGACCGAUAGUGAACCAGUACCGUGAGGGAAAGGCGAAAAGAACCCCGGCGAGGGGAGUGAAAAAGAACCUGAAACCGUGUACGUACAAGCAGUAGGAGCCUCUUUAUGGGGUGACUGCGUACCUUUUGUAUAAUGGGUCAGCGACUUAUAUUCUGUAGCAAGGUUAACCGUAUAGGGGAGCCGUAGGGAAACCGAGUCUUAACUGGGCGAAUGAGUUGCAGGGUAUAGACCCGAAACCCGGUGAUCUAUCCAUGGGCAGGUUGAAGGUUGGGUAACACUAACUGGAGGACCGAACCGACUAAUGUUGAAAAAUUAGCGGAUGACUUGUGGAUGGGGGUGAAAGGCCAAUCAAACCGGGAGAUAGCUGGUUCUCCCCGAAAGCUAUUUAGGUAGCGCCUCGUGAACUCAUCUUCGGGGGUAGAGCACUGUUUCGACUAGGGGGUCAUCCCGACUUACCAACUCGAUGCAAACUGCGAAUACCGAAGAAUGUUAUCACGGGAGACACACGGCGGGUGCUAACGUCCGUCGUGAAGAGGGAAACAACCCAGACCGCCAGCUAAGGUCCCAAAGUCAUGGUUAAGUGGGAAACGAAGUGGGAAGGCUCAGACAGCCAGGAUGUUGGCUUAGAAGCAGCCAUCAUUUAAAGAAAGCGUAAUAGCUCACUGGUCGAGUCGGCCCGCGCGGAAGAUGUAACGGGGCUAAACCAUGCACCGAAGCUGCGGCAGCGACACAUAGUGUUGUUGGGUAGGGGAGCGUUCUGUAAGCCUGCGAAGGUGUACUGUGAGGUAUGCUGGAGGUAUCAGAAGUGCGAAUGCUGACAUAAGUAACGAUAAUGCGGGUGAAAAACCCGCACGCCGGAAGACCAAGGGUUCCUGUCCAACGUUAAUCGGGGCAGGGUGAGUCGACCCCUAAGGCGAGGCUGAAAAGCGUAGUCGAUGGGAAACGGGUUAAUAUUCCCGUACUGGUGGUAACUGCGAUGGGGGAACGGAGAAGGCUAGGUUGUCCGGGCGACGGUCGUCCCGGUUCAAGCAGGUAGGCAGAGUGAUUAGGCAAAUCCGGUCACUUAAUGCUGAGAUGUGAUGACGAACCACUAAGGUGGUGAAGCAAUUGAUGCCCCGCUUCCAGGAAAAGCCUCUAAGCUUCAGGUUACCAACAAUCGUACCCCAAACCGACACAGGUGGUCAGGUAGAGAAUACUCAGGCGCUUGAGAGAACUCGGGUGAAGGAACUAGGCAAAAUGGUGCCGUAACUUCGGGAGAAGGCACGCUGGCGGUAGGUAAAGUCCCUUGCGGACGGCGCUGAAGCCAGUCGAAGAUACCAGCUGGCUGCAACUGUUUAUUAAAAACACAGCACUGUGCAAACACGAAAGUGGACGUAUACGGUGUGACGCCUGCCCGGUGCUGGAAGGUUAAUUGAUGGGGUCAGCCGCAAGGCGAAGCUCCUGAUCGAAGCCCCAGUAAACGGCGGCCGUAACUAUAACGGUCCUAAGGUAGCGAAAUUCCUUGUCGGGUAAGUUCCGACCUGCACGAAUGGCGUAAUGAUGGCCAGGCUGUCUCCACCCGAGACUCAGUGAAAUUGAACUCGCUGUGAAGAUGCAGUGUACCCGCGGCAAGACGGAAAGACCCCGUGAACCUUUACUAUAGCUUGACACUGAACAUUGAGCCUUGAUGUGUAGGAUAGGUGGGAGGCUUUGAAGUGUGGACGCCAGUCUGCAUGGAGCCAACCUUGAAAUACCACCCUUUAACGUUUGAUGUUCUAACCUAGGCCCAUAAACUGGGUCGGGGACCGUGUCUGGUGGGUAGUUUGACUGGGGCGGUCUCCUCCUAAAGAGUAACGGAGGAGCACGAAGGUUGGCUAAGCAUGGUCGGACAUCAUGCGGUUAGUGCAAAGGCAUAAGCCAGCUUGACUGCGAGAGUGACGGCUCGAGCAGGUACGAAAGUAGGUCUUAGUGAUCCGGUGGUUCUGAAUGGAAGGGCCAUCGCUCAACGGAUAAAAGGUACUCCGGGGAUAACAGGCUGAUACCGCCCAAGAGUUCAUAUCGACGGCGGUGUUUGGCACCUCGAUGUCGGCUCAUCACAUCCUGGGGCUGAAGUAGGUCCCAAGGGUAUGGCUGUUCGCCAUUUAAAGUGGUACGCGAGCUGGGUUUAGAACGUCGUGAGACAGUUCGGUCCCUAUCUGCCGUGGGCGUUGGAAGAUUGAGAGGGGUUGCUCCUAGUACGAGAGGACCGGAGUGAACGCACCACUGGUGUUCGGGUUGUCAUGCCAAUGGCAUUGCCCGGUAGCUAAGUGCGGAAGAGAUAACCGCUGAAAGCAUCUAAGCGGGAAACUUGCCUCGAGAUGAGUCUUCCCUGUCGCUUUAAGCGACCUAAAGGAACGUUUAAGACUAAGACGUUGAUAGGCUGGGUGUGUAAGCGUAGCGAUACGUUGAGCUAACCAGUACUAAUGAACCGUGAGGCUUAACC
rnacentral:rRNA from 1 species